UGUCUAACAGCAGUCUCCCAACCUGAGCAUGUCUUUCUUCUUCCUGAAGAUGAUCUUCUGGUGCACCUACCACAAGUGCUUGGGGCUGCUUCAGCAAGAAUGAUGGAAGCAUCACCCCACUUCUGCUAUACUCUCUUGUCUGUCCUUGGGGAGGGUUAUGCCAACUGGCUCAUUAACAUAAUCAGUAUAGUUUUGACUGUGCCCUGACCAGCUAGGCUAACUGCCUAGCUCAUAUCAAGUACUCAGCAGGUGCUUGUCAAAUAAACAAUUAGAUCUCAUCAUGGGCUGAGUUAUGUCCUCCCAAAAUUCAUAUGUUGAAGUCCUAACCUCCAGUACCUCAGAAUAUAGUUGUGUUUGGAGAUAAGGUCUUGGUAUUAGUCUGUUCUCACAUUGCUAUAAAGAACUACCUGAGACUGGGUACUUAUGAAACAAAGAGAUUUAAUUGACUCACAGUUCAGCAGGCUGUACAGAAAGCAUGGCUAGGGAGUCCUCAGGAAAUGUACAGUCACGGUGGAAGGCAAAGGGGAAGUAGGCACAUCUUCCCAUGGCAGAGCAGGAGAGAGAGAAAGAGAGAGAGACAGAGAGAGAGAGAGAAGAGGGGAGGUGCUAUACACUUUCAAACAAUCAUAUCUCAUGAGAAUUCUAUCACAAGACAGCACUAGGGGGAUGGUGCUAAACCAUUAGAAACCACCCCCAUGAUCCAAUCACCUCCCACCAGGCCCCACCUCCAUCACUGCGAAUUAUAAUUCGACAUGAGAUUUGGGAGAUGACACAAAACCAAACCAUAUCAGUCUUUAAAGAGUUAAGUUAAAAUAAGCUCUUUAAAGUGGGCCCUAAUCCAGUAUGACUGGUGUUCUUAUAAGAAGAGGAGAUUUGGUCACAGACAUGGUUGCAUGCAGAAUAAAGACUUUUCGAGGACACACUGAGAAGGCAGCCAUCUGCAAAACAAGGAAAGAGUCCUCAGCAGAAACCAGUCCUGCAGACUCCUUGAUCUUGGACUUCCAGCCACUGCAAUUGAUGUCAAGCUUCAGCACCCUUGCAUCUCUGGAUAAAUGAAAUGUCACCCCAGCUGCCGUCCUUGUUCAGAUCUGUGCAAUAAAGAGCAAAGCAUAAAACCAAGUCAAGGCUUUGAGGGAGUGACCUACAAAAUGCAUAAUGUGAAACAAUGCAAAAGCGAAAGGUGCAAAAUCCCCAUCAAAGAGCUGGAGGCUGACAGAUGCGCCAGUGAUAAUUCCCAUCUUCCAACACAGGAGCACAGCUUCCAUUUUCCAUAACAGAACAACAGCCAGAGCAGCUGGAAGGCAGGGCCGCAUCCCAGACUUCCACCAACAAUGGGAUGAGACUUGACAUCUGGAAUCACAACCACAACAGACCUGAGAGACCCACCAGCUUGAUGACAAGCUUCUUCUUUCAAAGAAAGGUAUCAGUCUGGGGGACCUAGUGCUGCAAACCAUGACAAAUUAAGUGUGGCAUCCCUCACUUGCAUAAUGGAACUCAGUGAUAUUUUUUAAUUAACAAGAGUUAUUUUUAUGUAAGCUUCUCUCAUUCCUCCACUGUGCGUGCUCGGGGGCUGGUGGUGAGGAAAAAGAAAACAGCUGUGCGGGAAGCAUCAAGAAAAGGCAAGUCAUGAAGUCUUAGAGAUCAGUGACAUGUAAGAAAAAGAGUGAGGAGAAAAAUAUUCCUACUAAAGUUUUCCAUUUGUUUACCUUCCUUGUCACAUAGACUUCCAAGAGUUAGAAGUCUAGGAUUUGAUCUCCAAAUCUUCCUGGCAGAUUACUCAUCUUCAUUUCAUUCAUAUAGUCCAGGGGUUUGUACAAAGGAAGAUGCCAGUUCUUCCCCAAUCAUAACUAAGAUAUCAAGAGAUAUUCUUUUGAAAUGUAACAAAGGAGAUCUGAAGUUCAUCUGAAAAAAAUAAAUGGGCGGUCAUGACCAUGGGAUGCUGGACCAGGAUGGUAAGCUUCAGGAAACAGAAUCUGGAGAAUGCCCAGCUGCUCCCACAGGAAGCAUCAGGGAAGAAGAAGAAGAGGUGUGAAGUCUGCCUUCUGCUCUGCUGGGAUCCCUUUCACAUCUCCUUUGCCUCCAGGCAGUUUUGGUUCCUGGCCAUUUCCAGGUGUGACUCACUCAGGAUGGUAAGCAUCUUCUCUCCUACCCAGAGUAGAGGAUGAAGACCUCAUCUCAGAGGUUGAAGGGAGCUCCAGAGAGAGGUCUCAAACUUCCAGCAUUAACUGCUAAAGAAGCUUCAUGAGCUGCUGGAGAACCUGGGAAAUGACCAAUUAUAGGGACAGAGCUCAAAUACUCUGGGACACUCUAGUAGCUGAGAAAGUUCCAACUCCAGGGUGAUAGAGGACUGCCUGGCAAACCAUCAUCAAAGCAGAAGACCUGAUACUAACAUCACAGGCUAUGGUUUAUUACUGAAGAUCAGUGCUUACACCCUGCCAGAGGUUCAGAAGCAAACUUAUCAUUGUUCUCCCUGGAGAUGUUGGCCCACAUUCUGAAAAGUGUGGUCAGUAGUAGCAACAGAAAGCAAUUGUGCUUGCCAAGCACAAUGUCACUGUCCCCAGCCCUUCCCCCAACACAACCCAGUAGGUGCUUCCUGGCUGCAAACUUGGGAAAGUCACUUGACCUGUCUGAGGUUCCACUUCCUAAUCUGGCCUGGCGAAGAUAAGAAAAACAGUUUAUUUAAAGUGUCUAGCAAAGUGCUUGGACCAAAAUAGGACCUCUGAAAUGGUUAUGGUAGUGCUGUUAAGGUGAUGUUUUAAGUGCUGAUGAGCACAAAGAUGGGUAAGAUAUUCCUUCUGUUAAAAUCUACAGUCUAAUGAGAGAGAACAAGAUGAAUGCACAAUAACUGUCAUUCAGAACAGGAUUAUGAGAAGGUGUGAAUUUCUGUGAAAAAUCAGAACAGGGAGUAAUAUGAUCCCAGGUGAUUGGCAGGGGGUGGGGGUCUGGAUUCAACUGGAGAGGGAGCUGGCAGGGAAGGCUUCCUGGAGGAUGAGAGUUCAACAAGGGGCAGGUGUAGGAUGUGGGUGGCCAAGUGACUGGGCAGAAGGAGCUGCAGAAGUAAGACCCCAAAUCAGGAAGACAAGGGCCUGCUGAGAAACACGAGCUACAAAGUGCAAGUGCAGGAAGAGUUGGGAUGAGAUUAGAAGGGGGUCUGGGGCCAGACUGUGGAAGGCCCAAAUGCCGGGCUAAGGAGUUUGUACUUAAUUCAGUGGUCAACGGGGAGUCAUUGGAGGCUGUUGAGCAGGAGAGUUGCUUUCUUUACAGCUGUGCCAGACUAAAUUAAACCUAAACAGUACUUUAUAGCUGGAAAGGGAAGGCCCAGGAAUAGCUCUUGACUCAGAAACAGGCAUUGGGGAAGGUAAUGAGAAACAGCCGUGACUGAUCAAAGCAGAGAGGUUAAUUAAAUUUGUAAUUAUUGUGAAAGGCCAUUAAAAACCCUAGUUCACUAGAGAUAACUGCUCUAGUGGGGCUUCAAAGACAAACGCUUCUUUUAACCUUGAAUAGGGGGAUGUUUGCUUCUCUGUGGAGGAGAUAUGAUUAAGAUACUUAAUAAAUGGUAGAUAAACAUGCACACGUGUGUGUUCUCUGUAAACCCACUCUUCGUCCCUGCAUAUAUCUGUGUAGCUAUGUAGGGUGCUCCACAAGAGGGGUCCCCAGCCCCCAGGCCAUAGAGCGUUAUGGGUCCAUGACCUAUUAGGAACCAGGCCACACAGCAGGAGUUGAGCAGAGGGCAAGCAAGCAAAGCUUCAUCUGUAUUUACAGUC
rnacentral:lncRNA from 10 species